rnacentral:misc_RNA from 1 species
GUUGUUGUUGUUGAUGACAUUCGUCCCAAGGUGACGUGGUGUCAUGUUGCUUGUGUAUUCUAGUUUUAAGCUUUUUGAGCUUGAAACGUGUGGAUAAUCGGUGGUGACAUACAUCACUCCUUUGGUUGAUGAAGGUCGUCCAACGAUGUGGUGGUUUGUUUAUUUUGUUCUCGCAUCGUUCGGUGCAUUCUGUGGUCAUUUUGGCUAUUAGUGGCUUGCUUGGCAAUUGGGCUUUGUGGGUUGCUACUAGUUUGGGUGUCUUCGGGGAUGUCUACCGUAAAGGUGCAUGAGUGGUGUUUGGUUUGUUACGGGUGGUUGGCUCUUUGCUUGCGCAACAACUUCCACCUGGCAUACCUCUUCAGUCUUGUGUCAAUGUUUGUUUUGCAUUGAAUGCACGACGGGUUUCUUGUGUUGCAUGCCUAAUUAAUGGUAUCGUUUGAUGAAUUGGUUUCCCUUUUCGUCUUGCGUCGCCUAUGCGAUGUGAGAUGAACCUUGAAGUAGCCUUUGUGAUCCACACUUUUGAUGCAUACGCAUUGAUUUUGUGGCCCAUUAAGUGUUGCUCGGUCUCAUGGAUAUGGAACCUGGUGUGGGCAUGGAAUCGUAAUGGUUCCUUGUUUGCCCAAGUUUAGCUUUUUUAAAACGAUUUGUCUAUCA